rnacentral:rRNA from 1 species
UCAGGCUUAACACAUGCAAGUCGAACGAACCCUUCGGGGUUAGUGGCGCACGUGUGAGUAACGGGUGGGAAUAUGCCCUUUGCUUCGGAAUAACAGUUAGAAAUGAUUGCUAAUACCGGAUGAUGUAUUCGGACCAAAGAUUUAUCGGCAAGGGAUGAGCCCGCGUAGGAUUAGGUAGUUGGUGGGGUAAAGUCCUACCAAGCCGACGAUCCUUAGCUGGUCUGAGAGGAUGAUCAGCCACACUGGGACUGAGACACGGCCCAGACUCCUACGGGAGGCAGCAGUGGGGAAUAUUAAAGAGUGGGCGCAAGCCUGAUCCAGCAAUGCCGCGUAUGAGAGGGGGCCUUCGGGUCGUAAAGCUCUUUACCAAGGAUGAUAA